AAAAGUUUAGUAAAAAAAUUACUAUAGCUUGUCAAGCUAAAAUUGUUGUAUAACAUCUUUUU
rnacentral:tRNA from 1 species